rnacentral:rRNA from 2 species
CCUGGCGGCUAGAGCGCGGUGGUCCCACCUGACCCCAUGCCGAACUCAGAAGUGAAACGCCGUAGCGCNUCUCCCCAUGCGAGAGUAGGGAACUGCCAGGC